rnacentral:rRNA from 1 species
UUGACGGGGCCCGCACAAGCGGUGGAGCAUGUGGUUUAAUUCGACGCAACGCGAAGAACCUUACCAGGGCUUGACAUCCCCUGACCGCGUAUGAAAGUACGUUUUCACCCUCGGGUGACAGGGAGACAGGUGGUGCAUGGUUGUCGUCAGCUCGUGUCGUGAGAUGUUGGGUUAAGUCCCGCAACGAGCGCAACCCUCGACCUUAGUUGCCAGCAUUCAGUUGGGCACUCUAAGGUGACUGCCGGCUAAAAGUCGGAGGAAGGUGGGGAUGACGUCAAAUCAUCAUGCCCCUUAUGACCUGGGCUACACACGUGCUACAAUGGGCGGUACAAAGGGUCGCGAACCCGCGAGGGGGAGCCAAUCCCAAAAAGCCGCUCUCAGUUCGGAUUGCAGGCUGCAACUCGCCUGCAUGAAGCCGGAAUCGCUAGUAAUCGCGGAUCAGCAUGCCGCGGUGAAUACGUUCCCGGGGCUU